AGAGCUCAAAUUUGAAAGCUGGCGUCUUCGGCGUCCGCGUUGUAAUCUCGAGACGUGUUUUCCGUGCGGCUCUAUGGACAAGUCCCUUGGAACAGGGCAUCGUAGAGGGUGAAAAUCCCGUACUUGCCAUGGAAGUACCGUGCUUUGUGAUACACGUUCCAAGAGUCGAGUAGUUUGGGAUUGCUGCUCAAAGUGGGUGGUAGACUCCAUCUAAAGCUAAAUAUCGGGGAGAGACCGAUAGCGAACAAGUACCGUGAGGGAAAGAUGAAAAGCACUUUGGAAAGAGAGUUAAAAGUACGUGAAAUUGUCGAAAGGGAAGCACUUGAAGUCAGCCAUGCUGCUUGAGACUCAGCCUGGCUUUUGCUUGGUGUAUUUCUCGGUAGCAAGCCAGCAUUGGUUUGUGUCGUCGGAGAAGCGUAUGGGGAAUGUGGCAUCCUCGGAUGUGUUAUAGCCCUGUGCUGGAUACGACGACGCAGACCAAGGAACGCAGUGUGCCCUCUGGGCGGGUCUUCG
rnacentral:rRNA from 1 species